UAAUAUGACAGCUCUUUUAAAAUUUGUCUAGCAGAUUUUCUGGCUCUUUCUGGAAGACCUGC
rnacentral:snRNA from 1 species